rnacentral:lncRNA from 1 species
GAGAUGGUUAAAUUUUAUAGAUAGAAUUACUAAUACUGGAAUAGUAAUUAAUUUUGAACAUAUUAAAGGUAGUGAUAAUCAAAUAGCAGAUAUUUUAAGUAGAAUAAUUAAAAAUAAAGAUUAUGACUAACUAUUUAUUGCAGAUGCAAAGACCAAGAGGUUCCAGACCAGGAUUGCCAAUUGUUGGCAGUUCAAGUUCUCAGACAAAUAUACUCCAGACUCAUGAUAAGUUAAGAUUUGGUAAUAUAGAAUUACUAUGUUUUCCUAAUAGCAAUAUUAGUUUUAAGACACUUUCUCAUAUUUCAGUAACAAAGGCAGAAAAAUGCAUUUUAGAUAAUUUAUGGAUUUCUUAUAAUAAGAACCCAAAAGACCAAAAAUAUUUUUUAGCAUGUUUAAAUGCUCUUUCAGAACAUUUUAGUCAAGAUCAUAAACAAUUUAAAUGUUAUGUUGUUUUAAAUGGAAGACUUCCAGGAAUUUAUCAUACCUGGUUAGAAGUUUCAGACUGUAUUAAGAAUUUUCCAAAUCCUCUUUACAAAGGAUUUUAUUCAAUUUCAGAAGCAUUAGAAGAAUGUAGAAAAUUUAUUGGCCCAAAUUAUUUUAUUGCUCCUUCUUUAAAAAAUGUUUCAGAUCAACCUUUAGAUUAUUCUUCAAGAUUUUGUGAUCAUUGUGAAUGUAUGACAAAGAACUUUAAAAUUUUAAAUGAAUCAAACCAGACUUUGCAACAAGAAAAAUUAGCAUUACAAAAGAAGAUCUCUGAUUUGGAGCAAGAGAUUAUUAAUUUAAAAAUUUCAAAUCCUAUUUCUCAGACAGAAGCAGGUACUAUAGAGCCCAAUAAAUCUAUAGCUAGUCCAGCCCAAACGGAAGCUGGUAAAGACUUAUCAAAUCCGUUUAUGGUUCUGGGCUUA